rnacentral:rRNA from 1 species
AUGCUGGAGGUAUCAGAAGUGCGAAUGCUGACAUAAGUAACGAUAAAGCGGGUGAAAAGCCCGCUCGCCGGAAGACCAAGGGUUCCUGUCCAACGUUAAUCGGGGCAGGGUGAGUCGACCCCUAAGGCGAGGCCGAAAGGCGUAGUCGAUGGGAAACAGGUUAAUAUUCCUGUACUUGGUGUUACUGCGAAGGGGGGACGGAGAAGGCUAUGUUGGCCGGGCGACGGUUGUCCCGGUUUAAGCGUGUAGGCUGGUUUUCCAGGCAAAUCCGGAAAAUCAAGGCUGAGGCGUGAUGACGAGGCACUACGGUGCUGAAGCAACAAAUGCCCUGCUUCCAGGAAAAGCCUCUAAGCAUCAGGUAACAUCAAAUCGUACCCCAAACCGACACAGGUGGUCAGGUAGAGAAUACCAAGGCGCUUGAGAGAACUCGGGUGAAGGAACUAGGCAAAAUGGUGCCGUAACUUCGGGAGAAGGCACGCUGAUAUGUAGGUGAAGCGACUUGCUCGUGGAGCUGAAAUCAGUCGAAGAUACCAGCUGGCUGCAACUGUUUAUUAAAAACACAGCACUGUGCAAACACGAAAGUGGACGUAUACGGUGUGACGCCUGCCCGGUGCCGGAAGGUUAAUUGAUGGGGUCAGCGCAAGCGAAGCUCUUGAUCGAAGCCCCGGUAAACGGCGGCCGUAACUAUAACGGUCCUAAGGUAGCGAAAUUCCUUGUCGGGUAAGUUCCGACCUGCACGAAUGGCGUAAUGAUGGCCAGGCUGUCUCCACCCGAGACUCAGUGAAAUUGAACUCGCUGUGAAGAUGCAGUGUACCCGCGGCAAGACGGAAAGACCCCGUGAACCUUUACUAUAGCUUGACACUGAACAUUGAGCCUUGAUGUGUAGGAUAGGUGGGAGGCUUAGAAGUGUGGACGCCAGUCUGCAUGGAGCCGACCUUGAAAUACCACCCUUUAAUGUUUGAUGUUCUAACGUUGACCCGUAAUCCGGGUUGCGGACAGUGUCUGGUGGGUAGUUUGACUGGGGCGGUCUCCUCCUAAAGAGUAACGGAGGAGCACGAAGGUUGGCUAAUCCUGGUCGGACAUCAGGAGGUUAGUGCAAUGGCAUAAGCCAGCUUGACUGCGAGCGUGACGGCGCGAGCAGGUGCGAAAGCAGGUCAUAGUGAUCCGGUGGUUCUGAAUGGAAGGGCCAUCGCUCAACGGAUAAAAGGUACUCCGGGGAUAACAGGCUGAUACCGCCCAAGAGUUCAUAUCGACGGCGGUGUUUGGCACCUCGAUGUCGGCUCAUCACAUCCUGGGGCUGAAGUAGGUCCCAAGGGUAUGGCUGUUCGCCAUUUAAAGUGGUACGCGAGCUGGGUUUAGAACGUCGUGAGACAGUUCGGUCCCUAUCUGCCGUGGGCGCUGGAGAACUGAGGGGGGCUGCUCCUAGUACGAGAGGACCGGAGUGGACGCAUCACUGGUGUUCGGGUUGUCAUGCCAAUGGCACUGCCCGGUAGCUAAAUGCGGAAGAGAUAAGUGCUGAAAGCAUCUAAGCACGAAACUUGCCCCGAGAUGAGUUCUCCCUGACCCUUUAAGGGUCCUGAAGGAACGUUGAAGACGACGACGUUGAUAGGCCGGGUGUGUAAGCGCAGCGAUGCGUUGAGCUAACCGGUACUAAUGAACCGUGAGGCUUAACCUU